UGACCGAUAGUGAACCAGUACCGUGAGGGAAAGGUGAAAAGCACCCCGAUGAGGGGAGUGAAAUAGACCCUGAAACCGAACGCUUACAAUCAGUGGGAGCCCGUAAGGGUGACCGCGUACCUUUUGUAUAAUGGGUCAGCGACUUAAUCUGACGAGCAAGCUUAAGCCGAUAGGUGUAGGCGCAGCGAAAGCGAGUCUUAAACGGGCGUUUAAGUUCGUCGGAUUAGACCCGAAGCCGAGUGAUCUAGCCAUGGGCAGGUUGAAGGUGCGGUAACACGCCCUGGAGGACCGAACCCACGUCUGUUGAAAAAGACGGGGAUGACCUGUGGUUAGGGGUGAAAGGCCAAUCAAACUCCGUGAUAGCUGGUUCUCCCCGAAAUGCAUUUAGGUGCAGCGUCGCA
rnacentral:rRNA from 11 species